UUUAGAAUAACUCUCUUCAAAAUUUGAAAUCCUUGUGGAUGUGGGUGGAACAAAAUGAAAAGGUGCUGAUUCAAAUUUGUAAACGUAUCUGCUGGCUCGAUCGUUUGGUUUGGUGUUCCCCUAGACAAUUGAGCAUAGCAAAACUUGAUUACAGAGUUCCGAAUCUGAUCGCAAGCUCAAUAAACAUAAAUAACGUACCGGUUCUUAUUCAUAUUUCAGAAGACCAAACGCUGAAAAAUCAAUUUGGGGGUAACGAUGAAUAAUUCAUCACCGGCUCAUUCUUCGCUAUCGACGACGGCGGUUGUAGGUGGUGGUGGAGGAGGCAGUGGCAGCAACGCUACUGUAUCCGUUGACGAUUUUAUUUUUCCGUGUGAUCCUAUGUCAUCGGUUGAGCGUAAAGACGAAGCCAUGUCAGUUUUAAAAUCAGAUCUCAUGGCUGCACUUGACAAGGAAGUUAAAUCGUUGGUUGAAGAUAACUGGAAGUUUGAAGGGCCUCGGUCGCGGAUUCACCUUGUAUCACAUCGAGUUAUGCCUUGGCAUAGCAAGGGCAUCCUAUUGCUCUACUCAAGCUUCCCUGCCUAGUUAGGUUAGGGAGAGUAGAUGUGAUGUGUUCAGUCUUAACCCAACCGGGGAGGCUCUUUCCAUGAUCUGAACCUGUGAUCUCUAAGUCACAAGGUAGCAACCUCAUUGUUUUUCCUAGACUUGCCAUUGGUGAUCAUCUCUAUAGGCCCACAGAAGUUUCAAAAAAUUGGAAUUUGACUCCCCCAAAAUAGUUGGAACACUCACCUCAAAGCACUGUUCCUCCAAACUGAAUUGAUUAUGGUCGUGAUCUGAAGACAGAUACAAAUUGUUAUGCCAUAUGUCUUUUCCACCUGAAAACACAGCUGUGACUCUAUAUCUUCAGACUCUGGAAGAGCAUGAUUAUUGCAAAGGAAGGUUCUUUCCGUGCAAGAUCGUCAGUCACAUUUUGUGUUAGUCUUUCUAGUCCGGAUUGAGAAAGCUGGUGUUUUAAUAUUUAUAUGAUAUUAUUGUUCUAAUUUUGAGGGAUCAGUUAUUAAUUGCAGUUGAUUGUUGUAAACUGGAGGUAUUGUAAUGGAUAAGCCAACAAAUGGCUAACGAAUUCACUCGUUUGUUUUAAAAUUUCGGUAAAAUUGACAAAUAAAAUCAUACCUUA